UUUUGAUAUUAAGCAUUAUGUUUUAUUCUAACUUUUGAGCACUUCUUCAUUUUCUGUGCCUUGUUUUGUAGCUUAACUUCAUUGCCUCCCUAGUGUACCACCAGUUUAUUACUUUAAGAAUUGUUCCCGUAAAAUAUAUGUAUUUGAGCAUGUAUAGGUGGCACUAUGCGUGCUUAGAUAUUUUGAGUGUACAGUAUUUCUCUUUUGGUUGGGGGCAGUCACUGUAGUCUCAAGAACGGCCUGUCACAGUUUUACAUUUUAGAUAAAUGAGUUUUACUAGACCAUUUUCUAUGUUUCAUUUUGCAUAAUUGAAUGCUGAAUGUCUCGUCAUAUUUAAACACGAGCAAUGUAUUUGUUGAGGCUGCUAAACGGAUGUGAAUAAACAUGUUAAAAGCAUUUUUGUGAAUUUAUAUUUG